rnacentral:lncRNA from 1 species
UUGGAAGACGAAGAAACAACUUGAGGCCCAACAGAACCAUUGGUCUCAGGCCUAUUACAUCAAAAAAACUAAAAGCAAAACCGGCCUCACUAUAAUGUUUGAUAGUGAAUACCUCCUAACAAAACAAUUAAAAACGUAACUUAAUGGAAACGGAAAGUAAUAAAUGAAAUUGAGAAAAAAGGAACUUAAAUAUCUACCCUAGUCAACUCAAAAAAUUGGAUACCAUUAAUUCUCUCGAUUUGUCAUUUCGAAAUCCAAUUCGUUCUGACGAUAGCGGUUUCCAAGGAUAAGACUUUACUUGCUAUCUACUUUUGAAAUCAGUUUCCCUCAAAAUGCUCCUUCAAUCUGGACUUCUUGACCAUCAUCCCUCCGAAGUGAAAACAUGGCGAUUCAAUUCUUCUCCCACCAGGUAAGAGGUCUCUCCUCUAUCUAAAGUGUCCUUUGCUAGUCUAUGUGCUUGCGAGUUCCCUAAUCUGUGAAUAUGCUUAAAGAUAAUCUCUUGAAAGCAAGGUUUCUUAUUCUGAAUAUCACUGAUAAUUGCUCCAAUCACUGAUUUGUCUGUUAAAGUUGUUUGGCAUUUUUUUGUUAUUGAUUUGGAGUCCCCUAUAAGUUUAACCGAUUGCAUUCCCAUUGAGAUCCCUAUCUUUGUGGCUUCUAAACAUGCAUACGCUUCUGCUGCAAAUGGGGAGGAAACAUUGUUGUGUAAGGUCGACUUUAAGAUCAGAAGUUCCCCCAUCAGAUCCCAAACCACCAGACUUGUCGCUGAUUUGAAGUUUCUACUGUCGAACGCUACAUUAAGCUGAAUUUUCAUUCUCUGUAUAUCCUCCUGAAUUCUAUAAUUUCUGUUCGAAUUAAAAGGGAUCUUCAUUACUCUUACUCCUUUGUAUUCUGCCAUAUGCCUCUAUAUGUUUUGUGUUAGAUCUCUUUCUAUUGUAUUUUUCCCCUCAUGCAUGAGUUGAUUUCUGGAAAAACCAGAUUAACCAUAAAGCAUAACAGAAAAUUCGACAUUGAACGUUAUUACUUCUCUUGAAUACCCAGGUUAGCCACUUCCAUAGACUUUGAUUCAUAUUAUUAAUGAUCCAAGAUAAAUGUAAAAACUGCCAAACUUCUGUUGUUAUAAGGUAUUCACGGAAGAUAUGAACACUAUAGCGGGGACAUCUGCCGUUUGAAAUGACUCUUUUGUAUCUGAGAUUAGCUAGAUUAGGAAUAAAAUCCCAGGAAAUUUUCCAAAUGGUGAUUGUGAUUUUUGAAGGUAACUGUAGGUUCCAUAGUUUCCUGUAAAAUUCUUUGAUUUCGGUCUGUAUUAAAUAAUUAUAGGAUUCAGAGUAGCAUCUUGUAAUAGUUUAUAGGCACUACGUACUGAAUACUCGCUGGAUGGUUCUCCUUUCCAAACUUGAAUAUCCUCGUGUUCAGUCUCUACAAGAGGAAUCUGCAUAAUUUUCUGAGCAAUUUUUGCUUGAAAGGCACUAUUAAUCAAAUCUGUCCUCCAUUUUUUGUUUGAAGCAUCGAUAAGAUCCGAUACUAACUUUAACUCCCCAUUGUUUGAUCUAUUGUGCCCUUCAACUUUAUCGAUCCUCUGAAUCCAACUAUCGUCCCAAAUCAAAAUUUUAUCCCCACUGCCCACUCUCCAGCACAUCUCUUUUUGGAUGAGUCCCUUUGCUGCCCAAAUACUUUUUCAUGUGAGUGAAGGUAAAUCUCCCAACUCUACAUUUAAAAAACUUAAUUGCGGAUAGUAUUUUACUUUUAAAACUCUGGCUUAUAAAGAAUUUGGAUAAUUAAUAAGGCGCCAACCUUGUUUGGCUAAUAAUGCGAUAUUGAAUUGACCAAAGUUUCGAUAACCUAAACCACCAUUUUCUUUUAAAAAACAAAGGUUUUUCCAAGUACACCAAUGAAUUCCCCUUUUUCCAUGUCCCUCCUGCCACCAGAACCUCACAACGAUACUUUCGAGUUCAUCACAUAGAGCUUUAGGUAAUAAGAAACAAGCCAUCGUGUAAGUUGGUAUAGCCUGAAGAAUGGCCUUUAUAAAUACUUCUUUUCCACCCUGAGAUAAAUACCUAUUACUCCAGUUAUCAAUACAUUUUUUUAGUCGAUCUUUCAAAUUUUGAAAAGAUUUUUUUUUCUCUGACCCACCAUAUUCGGAAAUCCUAGGUAACGUUCUGGUUCAUUCGAACAGUGGACCCCAAUAAAUUGACAACCAAUCUUUUAUCUUUCUCCGGUGUGUUUUUGCUAAAGAAUACUAUUGAUUUGUCGAAAUUAACACAUUGACCCAAACAAGAUUUGUAUUCGCUUAGGAUGUCUUUAAAUAGAUUUGCUCCCCUGCUUAUUGCCUUCCCAAAUAAUAUGCAAUCAUCGAUGAAUAAUAGAUGGGAUACCUGUGGGCCACUUCUACUUACCUUAACACCUUUUAAAAACCUUCCAUUCGUCGCAAGUCUCAGUAGGCUCAAUAGACCCUCACCAUACACAAGAAAUAAGAACAGACUUAACGGAUCACCUUGUCUGAGUCCUCUGGUUGGUAGAAACUUAUCACCAAUAUUCCCAUUAAUGACUACUGAAUAUGAAACAGUUGUAACAUAUUUAAUAAGAGUGUCUAUCCAUCUUUGAGCAAACCCCAUUCGUAUCAUUAUCUCUUUUAUAAAAUUCCAUUCAACCCUAUCAUAUUUUUUACUCACAUAGAGCUUUAGGUAAUAAGAAACAAGCCAUCGUGUAAGUUGGUAUAGCCUGAAGAAUGGCCUUUAUAAAUACUUCUUUUCCACCCUGAGAUAAAUACCUAUUACUCCAGUUAUCAAUACAUUUUUUUAGUCGAUCUUUCAAAUUUUGAAAAGAUUCUUUUUUCUCUGACCCACCAUAUUCAGAAAUCCUAGGUAACGUUCUGGUUCAUUCGAACAGUGGACCCCAAUAAAUUGACAACCAAUCUUUUAUCUUUCUCCGGUGUGUUUUUGCUAAAGAAUACUAUUGAUUUGUCGAAAUUAACACAUUGACCCAAACAAGAUUUGUAUUCGCUUAAGAUGUCUUUAAAUAGAUUUGCUCCCCUGCUUAUUGCCUUCCCAAAUAAUAUGCAAUCAUCGAUGAAUAAUAGAUGGGAUACCUGUGGGCCACUUCUACUUACCUUAACACCUUUUAAAAACCUUCCAUUCGUCGCAAGUCUCAGUAGGCUCAAUAGACCCUCACCAUACACAAGAAAUAAGAACAGACUUAACGGAUCACCUUGUCUGAGUCCUCUGGUUGGUAGAAACUUAUCACCAAUAUUCCCAUUAAUGACUACUGAAUAUGAAACAGUUGUAACAUAUUUAAUAAGAGUGUCUAUCCAUCUUUGAGCAAACCCCAUUCGUAUCAUUAUCUCUUUUAUAAAAUUCCAUUCAACCCUAUCAUAUUUUUUACUCACAUAGAGCUUUAGGUAAUAAGAAACAAGCCAUCGUGUAAGUUGGUAUAGCCUGAAGAAUGGCCUUUAUAAAUACUUCUUUUCCACCCUGAGAUAAAUACCUAUUACUCCAGUUAUCAAUACAUUUUUUUAGUCGAUCUUUCAAAUUUUGAAAAGAUUCUUUUUUCUCUGACCCACCAUAUUCGGAAAUCCUAGGUAACGUUCUGGUUCAUUCGAACAGUGGACCCCAAUAAAUUGACAACCAAUCUUUUAUCUUUCUCCGGUGUGUUUUUGCUAAAGAAUACUAUUGAUUUGUCGAAAUUAACACAUUGACCCAAACAAGAUUUGUAUUCGCUUAGGAUGUCUUUAAAUAGAUUUGCUCCCCUGCUUAUUGCCUUCCCAAAUAAUAUGCAAUCAUCGAUGAAUAAUAGAUGGGAUACCUGUGGGCCACUUCUACUUACCUUAACACCUUUUAAAAACCUUCCAUUCGUCGCAAGUCUCAGUAGGCUCAAUAGACCCUCACCAUACACAAGAAAUAAGAACAGACUUAACGGAUCACCUUGUCUGAGUCCUCUGGUUGGUAGAAACUUAUCACCAAUAUUCCCAUUAAUGACUACUGAAUAUGAAACAGUUGUAACAUAUUUAAUAAGAGUGUCUAUCCAUCUUUGAGCAAACCCCAUUCGUAUCAUUAUCUCUUUUAUAAAAUUCCAUUCAACCCUAUCAUAUUUUUUACUCAUAUCGAGUUUUACGGCCAUAUACCCUUUCUCCCCCAAUCUCUUCUGUUCUAACAUAUGCAAUAUUUCAUAGGCUAACAACACAUUAUCUGAUAUUAAUCGACUUGGCACAAAGGCACUCUACGCAUCAUCAAUACAUUUUCCAAUAACUUCUCGAAACUGAUUUGCUAUUACCUUUGCUAGAAUUUAUAAAGCAUAUUACAUAGGCUAAUCGGUCGAAGCUACGUCAUAUUAGAAGGACUGGUAACUUUUGGAAUAAGUACUAUAUUAGUGGAGCUAAUUGAACUAACCUCCAUAUCCCCAUUGAGAAUUCGUAAGCAAAAGGAGGUGACUUCUUCUCCAACAAUAUGCCAGUAUUUCUGAUAAAAUAGAGCUGGGAAUCUGUCUUCCCCUGGUGCCUUCAUAGGUCCCAUGUCAAACAUUGCUUAUUUAAUUUCCUCUUUUGUGUAUUUUGCUGUAAGUUUUUGAUUGUCUUCCUUAUAUACACACACCGUUCGAUCCCUGAUAACAGAUGGUCAUAGUUCCCCCUAUCUCCUGCUGAAAACAGUCUUUGAAAAUAAGAUCGUUCAAUACCCUCUAUUUCCUGCAAGGCCACCAUUUUUCUUCCACCUUCAUUUUGUCGCUUAUGAAUAAGAUUUGUCCUCUGUUGCUGUGUUGCUUAACUGUGAAAAAAUGUUGUGUUUUUAUCGCCAAAUUUCAACCAGUUUAGUCUAGCCCUUUGUUCCCAAUAACAUUCAUCCUUUUCAAUCUCAAAAAUUAAAUUAAUUUUCGUAUCAAUCAUCUCAGCUAAAUUUUUAUCAUCUCUUUCAGCUUUAGACAACUCAACUAAUUUUUCCAUUAGAAUCUAUUUUUUCUUUUUCCUAUUCAUUUGGAUUUGCCCAGCCGACUACUUGAAUCCUUUUUUUAAAAAAAUUUUCCAACUUCUGUAGCAGCUUCCCUGAAGACUUCUCCCAUAAACAUUUAACUUCAUUAAUGAAAGAAUCCUCUAAAGACCACCAAGCUUCAAAUUUGAAAAUAUUGUUCCUUAAUCGUUCUUCAAACACUCUUGUAUUAAUUAGAAGAGGGCAAUGAUCUGAAAAAGAAUGCACUAGGUGUUGAACUUUCACCUCUGGGAGCAUAACAAUCCAUUCUAUGUUGGCGGUACCUCUGUCCAAUUGUUCUUAUAUGUUCGUCUUCAUUAAAUUUCCUCUCUCCCAAGUGAACCAAUUACCAGAAAAACCCACGUCAUUCAGUUGACAUUCCUCCAGUGUUCUUCGAAAGGGUUCUAUCCUUCUUUCAUCUCUAGGCAGCCCUCAUUUUUUUGAAAUCCAUACAUAAUUUUAUUGAAAUCUCCACAAACAAACCAAGGGGUAUCCACAUCAGUAGCUAAGCUUUUCAAAACAGCCCAUGAAUCGUUCCUAUCUUGUACAUAAGAGGAUCUAUAGAAUCCUCCAAUUGGUUUCUGUUUCCUUGUCUUCAACUACCAUAUCAAUGUCUUUUAUAAAAAUUACGAAGUACUAUAUUAACAUUAAUCCUCCAUGCUAGACACAAUCUUCCUCUCGUACCUUCUGAAUCAACUUCAAUUCCAUUCACAAAACCACAACUUCUACGAACUCGUUCCAUCUGUCUUCUACAAAGCUUUGUUUCUAUAAAGAAGACUAUUUGGGGAUUAUAUAUCUUUAGCAAAUGCCGAAGUCUUUUUAUCGUCUGUGGUCUCCCUAAGCCACGGACAUUCCAGCUUAUGAUUUUCAUUGCACCCGGUUGGUUUGCCUCUUGGCAGUCGUCAAUGAUAAAAAAUUAAAUUCCACUAUUUUUCUACUCAUUGUCAUUUCAUUAACACUCUCUUCUUUUCCUAUUGGGUCUUCCAUCUUCCUCCUGUUUCACUUUUUCCCCUCCUCUCCUACUAAGAUACCAUAUUCCAAAUCAUGCUCCAUGGCCGUUUGCAUCUGAUCUGUCCAAAAUUUUUCCUUCUGUUGAUCAAGAGAUGACGUUCCCCUUCUAUGUUAAAUCCCAGAAUUGGAUCAAUGGCUUUUCCACUUUUUUCUUUGUUAUCCCCAUCCCAUGAUCUGAACCCCAAAAACUACUUAUCCGUCCAAUAUCCUUCCUAUUUUCCUUAACCUUCUUCUCGUAGCCAUAUACUAUUCAUUGAUAGAGCUCUUCGAGAUUAUGCUCGCAAUGAUAAAUCCCAACCCAUUUCAGCAAUAUCCACUCCUAACAUCAUUUUUGCCCCACAGAAAGAGUCACUAUGCCCCAAACGUCCGCAAUAGAAACAGAAAAACAAUAAUCAUUCAUACUUAAAUUUAACAUACGAGCAUCUCCCGCAACACAUAACCUGCUUCUUUCUUUUCAAAGGCCACCUAAUAUCAAUCUGUACCCUUACUUUCGUGUAAUUACGAUUUUCCUUUCCCAGGUUUGAUUCAUCAUAUUCCAAGAAAACCCCUAUAAAAUUACCCAAUUGUAUUGCUAAAUUUUCGGAGAAUAGACCUAUUGGGACGUCAUGAAUUUGUACCCAAAAAGAGUAAAAGUUAAUGGUACUUUUAAUGGAUCAUCCUCCCUUUUCAAUUUAUAAAGUACCAACAAAUGAUUAUUAAAAGUCCAUGGUUAGCCUUUCAAAACCUUCUCUAUAUCCAUACUGUGAAAAAAUUGAAAAAGAUACAUUUUUCCCCUAGAUAUCGAAUUUGAACCCUACGAACAGGAUGCCACAGGUUUGCCAUAGUGCUUUUCAUAGCUGAGAAGUGAAUUAUACUUGCUGUUAGGAAACACCCCAUAAGUUGAAACUCUCCCCCUUCUCUUUUCGUACUCAGAUGUACCUAAAUUUGCAGAAUUUCUUAUUCUUCCUUAUUGAGUGACAAUUGUGCUAAUUUAGUUUCCAUGAAUGCAUGUUUGAAGACCAGAACGCAAUCAGCACUCUCUAAAUCGUAGAAUUAAAGUAGCCUUAAAGACACCGGCUGCAACUAAGAGACAAAAAAAAUAAAGACUAUAACAAGAAAAACCUAAACCUUCAUGCCAAAGGCGGCAGACAAUAGCAUGCUAAGGUAGCAGACUUGACAAAUUAUGUGUAUUUUUUUAUAUGUUAUUUAUUAGUUUGUCUAAAUUUUAAAUAUAGUUGAAGGUUAGUCUACUAAAUUGUAAGUUAUUUAAUUAUGCCAAGUUUUUUAUAAUUAUCUAGUUAUAAAAAAUUAUAAAAUAAUCAUUCAAUUAAUCACGUUA